UACGAAGGGGGCAAGCGUUGUUCGGAAUUACUGGGCGUAAAGGGUGCGUAGGCGGUUUGGCAAGUCUGAUGUGAAAUCCCGCAGCUUAACUGCGGAACUGCAUUGGAAACUGCUUGACUAGAGGGAUGGAGGGGAGACUGGAAUACUUGGUGUAGCAGUGAAAUGCGUAGAUAUCAAGUGGAACACCAGUGGCGAAGGCGAGUCUCUGGACAUUUCCUGACGCUGAGGCACGAAAGCCAGGGGAGCAAACGGG
rnacentral:rRNA from 1 species